GUUGGCUUGGACGAAAGGCGGGGAGAGAGAGGAGGCAGAGCCCCGCGGGUGGGGGGAAUGUUGUUAAAACACUUUCUUACCGUAAGAGGGAGUUGGGACCCAGAGCUUUCCAGUUAAUCACACAACAAAACUUGGCUCAUCGCAAUAAAAAGCUGCUCGGCUCGCUCUGCCUCCUCUGUUGACUGGCUGGGCAUCUCUUCUUCAGCUCCUUGGAGACCCUUGGGUAGUGCAAAAAAGCCCCUCAAACUACCAUGUGGAGCAACACGCUUCUGCCACUCGGGCUCUUCCUUCAUGCCAUCAUCGCCAUCCCUUUGGCAGAAGGCAAAGGGAAAAGAAAUGCCCUUCAUGACUACAGGAAGACUGCCGAUACUACAUUAAUGAGAGUAGACAAGAGAUUAAAAGUCAGAACCAAGCUUCUAAACACCACAGAACAGUGUGCCAAGAGAUGCAACAGAAAUAAAGGACUUUCAUUCUCUUGCAAGGCUUUUGCAUUUGAUAAAACUGCCAAACGCUGCCACUGGUUAUCCUUUACUAGCCUAGAAAAUGGAGUGAAGAGAAAGCAAGACAGCACAUUUGAUUUCUAUGAGAAGAAAGAUUAUGUUAGAAAUUGUAUCAUUGGUAAAGGAGCAAGUUAUAAGGGAACUAUAUCAUUCACAAAAAGUGGUGUUCAGUGCCAAGCAUGGAAUUCUACAAUACCUCAUGAACACAGCUUUUUGCCUUCGAGCUAUCGAGGUAAAGAUCUUCGGGAAAACUACUGCCGCAACCCCCGAGGGGAAGAAGGGGGGCCCUGGUGUUUCACAAGCAAUCCAAAGAUUCGUCAUGAAGUCUGUAACAUCCCCCUCUGUUCAGAAGUUGAAUGCAUGACAUGCAAUGGGGAAAGCUAUAGAGGCCCAAUGGACCACACAGAAACUGGCAAGGAAUGUCAGCGUUGGGAUCUUCAGAAACCGCACAGACACCCAUUUCGUCCAGAGAAAUAUCCUGACAAAGGCUUUGAUGAUAAUUACUGCCGCAAUCCGGAUGGCAAGCUGAGGCCAUGGUGCUACACACUUGACCCAAACACCCCUUGGGAGUUUUGCACAAUUAAAAUGUGUGCUCAGGAUGUGGUGAACAACACUUCAGCAGCAGAAACGACUGAGUGUAUCCGAGGACAAGGAGAGGGCUACCGCGGUACUGUGAGCACAAUAUGGAGCGGGACUGAGUGUCAGCGCUGGGACUCUCAGACUCCCCAUCAACACAACUUCACACCAGAGAACUUCAAAUGCAGGAAUGCUGCUGCUAUACAAGCUCUGGUUAUGUGGAACCAAGAUCUCCUUCAGCUGCUCACUCAUCAGUUUUAAAUUGUUUAGCUGUGGCAUGUCAAACGUUUCACUCAGCCCUCAUGCACUGAACUGGCAUUACAGCAACAUAUAGAUGGCAACAAUUGCUGAGACCACAGAGAAUAUUCUUGUUUGAGGAAUACAUGGUGUGACAAGAAGGGCAUCUCUCCACUGUGCCACCUACUUACUUCUGAGAUGUUUGCUAGCCCAAGUUGUGUGGUCAUGACCAAGACAUUGUGCGACAGUCAAUUGUUUCUUCCCUCAGCCAUCUUCUUACAAGAAGAACUAAUCGGAACUAGUGACACUAAAGCAAUAGAGUAUACUGUUGUGGAUGCUGGAAGACCUUUCUUGGUUAGGCUGAUGGCUUUCUAAUAGUUCCGGAUGAUUUUAUCAAGGGGAGUUAAUGACAGGGAAUGUUCUCCUGAUAGAUGUGGAUUUCUCUUCAGCUUUUAUAAUGUAAUAUCUAUCAGUGUUUAGAAAGUGGCACUCUCCGGCUGUGGGAAGAUUAGAAAAAGAGUUUGAAGCCGUUUGCAUUUUGGACUUGGAGACAGGAGAGUUUCUAGCCAGAGUUGGCAGUAAUGAGUUGGUAAUGAGUUGCUCAUUAAUGAGUUGCUGCCAUGGAGGUUUGCAAUUGCAGCAGUUGCUGUCUAGGGUUACUGAAUUUGCUUCCUAAUUUUUAGAAUCUGCUUCCAAUAGGCUCAGCUUGUAUAUGUAUAUUUGUAAAUAAAACAAAUAUAAAGAAGCCAUAGGUCUAUUACACACUAUCAUUCAAAGGAAACUAACUGCCUCUGUAACUUCUCACUGUUUGGGAAAUGGGAGCACUUAACUUUACCUUUUGUAGAUUCUGGUUUGCAGCCCAAUCCUAUGCCCACUUUUAGUCCUAAGUCUUACCAUGUCCAGCAAAACCUACUCCCAGGAAAGUGUCAUAGAGUUGUGAAGAGCACAAUCCUAGACAGGUUUACCCAAAACAAGCCUCACUAUGUUCAAUGGGGCUUACUCCCACAUAAGUGUGCAGAGCAUUGCAGCCUUGAUCAUCUUUAUACUUGUGUCUUUAACCCUUUGUAUGUGCAUAAGCAAAAAAGAGCCUAAGUCCCAGCUUACUUGUCACCCCAGCCGGUCUCCAAACUUCACUUAUAAGAGAACAUUGUUUAUAAAGAAAAAUCGAUGGGUAUUUUAGCAAGGGACCGAUUAUUAUGGAUCACUGAAUGGCUGGGAUGGGAAGUGCUUCAUGCACACAGUUGUAACGUAUUGUUGGCAAUGAUUCUGUCAAUGCCAUAUGUUUGGAAUCAAAUCAUUGUGGCAUAGGGUUUACUUAGUGUUGAUGCUCCAAUUGUCAUGUCAUGAUGAUUUAGCAACAAGCUGGGAUAUCCAGUUUAUGGUAGACAUUCUCAUCUUGCCAUUCCCCGGACAUUUGCACUCCUCCUCUCUUGAGGCAUGCAUUACUCGAGUACUGCAGACAACCACAACUUUUCUGUAGUGUAGUAGCAAAAGUGUACCCACAUUUAGGAGGAGAUCUUUUUUCCAAUUUUUGCCAAAGAGGUGCAUUUCAUGGAUGCCACCAUGUCUAGUACAGGAUGCUUUUUUAUGGUGAUAGAAACAGCCUCUAGCCUGCCCACCUUCAGCAGUAUGAGCCCUAUGGAUGGCAAAUGUGGGAGAACUCUUAAGUAAUCAUACUUAAAUAGUUCAUAGGACUCCAGCUGAACCACUGCAACUCUGCUCUGUGUUCCGUUUCAGACGAUGCCUGCCACCUCAGUGUAGCAGCAAAUCUGUGCCAUGUGAAUGAUGACAAUGCCACUUCUUUGUGUUGCACCGGGGGUGGUGCAUGGAUCUUCCAAUGCUAGUGGCAAUGGAGCAUAUGGUCAUCUUCAUGAUAUUACUGCAAUGCAUAGAAAUUAGUUCAUUAAGCAAGGUUACAAGAAGUUAUAUUGCGCAUUGUAUGAAAUGGAAAUAAAAUGGCUUGUAAUGGGAAGGGGACAUAGUCCAAGCCCAUGCUUUGCAUGCAGAAGAUCUCUGGUUCAGUCCCUGGCACCUCUAGGUUUAUUUAUUGUUGAAUUUCUAUACCACCUUUCAUUAAAAACAACCCCAAGGCGGUUUACAAAAGUUAAAAACAUAUAAUAAAAAUGACAAUUAAAAUAUUAAACUAAAAAUAUUAUUUAUUUAUUGUUGAGGUUGGGUUGCGAGCGACCUCUGUCAGAAAUUCUGGAGAGUGAUAUAGAUGGAGCAAUGCUCUGACUUGUUCUAAGACAGCUUCCUAAGUUUGGUCAUAUUUAUACACCAUAUUUAUUUUUGUUGCUAUAAUUGUACAGUUUUGUUGCUAUAAUUGUACACUGGGAACAUGCAUUAUUGAACAGUACAUGAGCUUAAUUUUAUUUGUGUUAAAUUUCAUUAAUCUGUGUAAUAAAAUGUGUGUGAUUUGUAUUUUAGCAACAAUAUGGCCACAUAUAAACAAUGUUCAAUAAAUGCAGUGUUGUUUUCCCUUU